UCUAAAGUCCAGAGUGUGUGAUCAUCUCUGAGCUGGUGGUGACGUCAUGGCGCCCUCUGGUGGACAUCAGCAGGAACUACAAGCAGAGC